UUCUCUUGUGGGCAUUUAGUACUAUAAAUUUCCCUCUCCACACUGCUUUAAAUGUGUCCCAGAGAUUCUGGUAUGUUGUGCUGAGGACAAAUCUUAAAUUGAUUUUUGGAGCCAGCAGAGGCAAUAGGAGCUUGCUCCAUUUACUCCACUCAUUGACUUGAUAUUGCAGUACCUCCAGGUAUGGGUGCAUUCCCC
rnacentral:snRNA from 1 species